UGCGGAGUGGAGCAGUCCGGUUAGCUCAUCGGGCUCGUGUCCUGAAGGUCGUGGGCUCAAACCCCUCCUCCGAAA
rnacentral:tRNA from 1 species